rnacentral:rRNA from 1 species
CCUACGGGAGGCAGCAGUGGGGAAUCUUGCACAAUGGAGGAAACUCUGAUGCAGCGAUGCCGCGUGAGUGAAGAAGGCCUUUGGGUUGUAAAGCUCUUUUGUAGGGGAAGAUAAUGACUGUACCCUAAGAAUAAGGUCCGGCUAACUUCGUGCCAGCAGCCGCGGUAAUACGAAGGGACCUAGCGUAGUUCGGAAUUACUGGGCGUAAAGCGCGCGUAGGCCGUUGAGUUAGUUAAUUGUGAAAUCCCAAAGCUUAACUUUGGAACUGCAAUUAAAACUGCUCGACUAGAGUUUGAUAGAGGAAAGCGGAAUACAUAGUGUAGAGGUGAAAUUCGUAGAUAUUAUGUAGAACACCAGUUGCGAAGGCGGCUUUCUGGAUCAACAAUGACGCUGAGGCGCGAAAGUAUGGGUAGCAAAGAGGAUUAGAUACCCUCGUAGUCCAUACCAUAAACGAUGAUNUNUANAUGUAGUAAUUAUUUACUAUAUCNCANACUACGACAUAGUACAUCCGCCGUCGGGAGGUACGACCGACGAACGUUAAACGUAACAAAGAAGUAGACGGCGUGAGACGUGCCGACGACGACGACGAGGGAGGUAGG